UCCAAAUUCUUGUGCUUAACAUUCUGCCCAUGACGUGUGAACACUUAUCCUCAUUGCCCCCAUUAUAUCCAACCGUUACUUCCACAAGCUCUCUUACCCAUUCAUAACCAACCCUCUAUAUAUAUCUUCUCCACAUGCAUUAUCCUCCUCACUCCUCAUAUCUCUCUCUCUCUCUCUCUUUCUCUCAACUCUCACCAUCAACAUCUAGCCCCUCUCUCUCUCUCUCUCUCUCUCUCUCUCUCUCUCUCUCUCUCUCUCUCUCUCAAAGCAUAUGGAGAAAGAAACCGAUAACAUGAGGACCUUUGACAUGGAUACACUGAAGAUCAAUCUACCACAGAAGAGAGGAUUGUCGAGAUAUUAUUCUGGGAAAUCAAGAUCAUUUAAGAGAUUGGCCGACGUUGAAUUUGUGGAAGAUCUGGAAAAAGAAGAACGCCCGAAGAAGAGGAAGAAGCAUUCAUCACCAUUGUCGUGUCGUGGCGUGUCAAGUAGAACCCAAUGUGCUUCACCUAUUUUUGGAGUGUAAAUAGCGAUUUUGAUUUUGUUUGCUACCUGUAAAUUCCAAUUUUGUUGUUUUGUU